ACAAUUUGGGACCUGUUCACCUUAAAACUGUACUAUGUAAGCCAUAAGCUUAAUUUCUUCACUACUUACUGUACAUGUAAACAUCUAAACUCAAUAUUUCUUCAUUUGCUUUUGUCCAGAAGCUAGUUACCAUAUGUCAGAGUUGGUUCAUUUAGAUGGCAUCUAUGAUCCUUUUGCAGCCUGCCAUGUUGCCAAAUUGAGUACACACAUUUCAGUUAUUGUUUUUGAGUUGUGAAAAAGUCCAUAUAACAUUUUAAAAAUAAUGUAAGAUGUACUGAUGUCUAUGAACAAAAUAUUAAUAAUCUCUAUUCAGAUGAAAGCGCGGUCAAGCUUCAGUCUAAUGAUGGUGAUCUUUUGCUCCUGGCACACGUUGGUUUUUCUUUUCUCUCAUUUGUGAUUCAGAAGCUUCAGCCCCCUUUUGUGUCUCUGGACUCAAACUCUAAAGUCACUCUGACCUGCAUGUUGUGUCACCAAAAACUAUUGUGGAGUCAACAGCUGCUGCAGCCCCCACGCCCCACUGUGGCACACACCCUAACCCACACUUCUGUCCCUCUCCCCGUUGAAGUCCUCAUUGUUUAACUAGAAUAAUAAUUUUAAAAAAAACAACAAAAUGAAAUUUUGAGCCAGCACAGUCACAACAAACCUGAAGCAGAGUCUCAAUUCAGCAUUCUGCACAUGUACACAAACACACACACCCUCCAUGAAAGGAAGGAGAGCAGGAGCAGCUGAAACGUAAUCAGCCCUUUAAAUCUCCACAGCAACCAACCCAGCACUCACUCCAUCUGCUGCCCAAAUUAAUGACGAGGAGAAAAGGAGGAGGAGGAAGAGGGGGAGAAGGGUGCCAUGUGCCCGGCACAAGCCUGCUGCCAUUCAUCCACUCAGGACCAAAUCCUGACUGAACAACAACAAAAACCUCCCCCGACAGUCAGCAGAAACACAAGUGAAGUUAAAACAAAUGCAGGAUACAGCUUCAUCCACCUUCAGCAUCACCUGUGUUAAAAUCAGGUACCUGAGAUGCAAACUUAGAGUUAGAUUUGACAUUAAAUAUCAUCUAAUAACUAAAGUUUGAUUCAGGAGAUUGUUAACUUAGCUUGCUUAGCGAAUCUGCGCCCUGGCCCUGUUUCGACUCAGAAUCUCCAGAGCUCAUUUUGAGGUAACUUUACUUUUUAUUUUUAUAUUUAAAAUGUUUUUGCCCAAAACACAAACACCCAAACACUUUUCAGUAUCUCAGUCCCUUUCUCUGAACUCCGUCACCCUGAAUAACCUGUGCUGCCCUCAGUCUCAACCCGCUCAUAAAGAGCUCUGCUCCUGCAGCCACAUGCUGCUUCUCAAGUGUCCUUUCAACAUAAAAGCCUCCUCCUCCUCCUCCUCCUCCUCCUCCUCCUCUAUGCUCCUUUCUCCUCCUCUAUCCUAAAGCUUUCUGUGCACUGUGGAGCUGCAGCAGAUGGUUCUGAUGGACUGUGUGUGUGUGUGUGCUCCUACACUCUUAGUUUGUUGUUUUGGUUUUACUGGUUACCAUGGAAAUGGAAAUCAACAACAUUAGUCUAAUACAUUCCAAGUUGAUUUUACUGAUAUUAUGUUUUCAUUGAUUUAACAUCCAACUAUUGUUUAUAACCGUAAGUUCUUGUCUGAAAGGGAUGAUGACAAUGUUUUUUGCUCUCAAAAGUCUUGAAUACAAUCUGGUUUGUCUCUAAUUUAGUGAUUCAUAUUCACGUCAACAUGGAGAAUAAAACUGGAAAAACUGUGAAGUACAUCCCCUUGUUUCGUAAUCAAAAAGUACAUUUUUUAAGUAGUUGUCAGGACAAGUUGAGUUUGUAGACAUGGCUCAGUCGUUGAUAGUUUUUAAAGAGGUCUGCUGACUCGCUCUGUCUGACAGCUAUGCUAAUAUAUUUUCUAACUAUGCUAAUGUCUCUCCUCUAUCAUUACCAUACGCCUGCUGCUGCAGCAGAGCUGCAGGUCACAGCAGGCUCAGGGUCAAACACACACAUACACACACACACACACACACACACACACACACACACACACACACACACACACACACACACACACACACACGCGUAACUACAUGUGUUGGCGCGAUCUGUGUACACAAACACUAACACACACAUACACUCACUGCUUCCCCCAGUUAUCAGCUGUUUAUGCUAAUUCCUGAUUGUGAUAUCCAUCAGUGGGGCCUCUUUGAGCUCAUGAUGAAUCUGAUCACUAAUUACAUUAACAAACCCGAAGCCCCCCAGGCUGCUGCUCUCUAAUGAAACCACAGUGUAGAGCUUUCUCUUUACACUAGUGUUAUCAGACUAUAGUGUUCAUGAGAAUGAGUCAGCCUUUAGUAUUGGAAGCACAGGGAGAACCUGAGCACCAUAUUAAAGUACUUCAAAGAGGAAACUCAGUACUGCAUUUUUACAGAAAACAAGAGUUCACCUCUUGCUCACAUACACUAUGCUAACUGGUGUGGUUUGGACAUUAGAGGUCAAACAAGGAUGGCCCAGAUGUAAUGAGCAGAGAAGGAUCGUAUCACAACCUAUGAUGGUGGACUUUCUUCUGUCAAUAACGUGAUUCUUGUUGUUUAGACUAGGACAACACUGUGAUCCACUUUUACUGUCAAAUCAAGUUAUAACAGCUCCACUGUAUACAGGCGCAGGUGCAUGCAGCUAUCAGAGGAGAGGUUGCUGUAUUGGAUAUUGAUUUUAUUGAUUUUUAGACCCUAUAUUGAAUCUCAUUUCAACCUUAGUCUCGCAAUUGUGGCUUAUUCUUAACAUGCAUAAUGCAAAAAUAAAAAAUAACAAUCCUCCUUCUCUAGUUUUUGUGUUUUUUUUCCUCCUGGCCCAGAAAUUUCUCUACAGAUGUGAGCUGGAAGAGAAAGUUUGUGUGGGUGUUUGAUUUUUAUCUUUAAAGGCAACAUGAGAUUAAAUAAAUAUGAAGAUAUUUUAUCUUGUAGCUUGUAUACAGAUAAAGAUCACACCCACACGCAGGCACGCACACACACACACACACACGCACGCAUGCACGUACGCACGUGCACACAUACGCAACCAGCUGUUGCCAAAACACUGCACUACUUCUCCAUUCAGCGCUGAGUCCCUCAAGGGCCUCAUUCAAACACAGCAGCAAUACUCUGUGUGUGUGCGUGUGUGUGUGUGUGUGUGUGUGUGUGUGUGUGUGUGUGUGAGGUAACUAGAGUUGCAGAAUACGAAAGUUGAGCACAAAAGUUUGUGCUCCGACUCAGAGCUAAAAAGCUUUAAAUUAAAGAAUCAAAUUCCAACAGUGCAUCAAAAAUACAUCACGGUCCAUGGUUUGGUAGAAAGUGAUGCAUGCAGUAUUCAAAUGAGGGCAGAAUCACAAAAAACAUGGACCAAGACCAGACUUGAGACUAAUUCAGGACAACACUUGUCUGUGUGUUGUAGGACCAGAUCAGAUGGCUAAAUGUGCUUGUUCUGCGCCCCCACUCUCUGCACACCCUCACCAAAACAAAACUCAGACAAAAGCUACAGCCAACACUUCUACACCCUCCUCAAAGGGCACAAAGAGCAGAAAACGACAGGAGGGGCCCUGCACAAAGGUGCACCGAGACCCCGGCCCUUUCUCCUCUUUUGUGCAGAAGAAUGGAGAGGUCCAGGAGCAGCUGCUGCUGGCUGCACGAGACAUUUGAGACGGUCCCUUUCACCAAAAACAAAGUCUGGAGCUGUGAGUGUGCAGGCUGCAGAGCUGCAGGGGCAAAGAGGAGGAGGAGGAGAGAGGAAGGGGGGGAGGUUGUAUACAAAACGACAGGCACACUUUGCCAGAUCAACGUGGAGCUGACUCCCCAUUCAUCCUGCAGAUCAGCCGCAGAGGGAGGGGGGCUGAGGGAGGGACUUAGAGUGAAGGAGGAAGCCUUUAAAGUUGACAUGAGUCACAUCAGUCACAGCACAAAAGAGUCCCCGAGGUCUGCCAUAUGGAGCAGGGACAUCAUCUGUUCAGCAGUCACUGAAAGAAAUCCAGGCUGAGCCAAUAGCAGCACCAGCUCUGCACCCUGCUCUACCCAGAGACAACACAACUCUGCUUUCUGAUUGGCUGCUGUGUCGUUAUUAACAGUGUCUCAAUUAGGCAGAUAAGGAAGGGAGGUUUUCUGUUGUUUUAGUGCUUCAAGUGAUCUGUGUGUCUGAUUGAUUUGUGUUGGUUUAUACUGAAGUGAGGUGUUUUACUAAUUCAUGCUUCUUCUGAUCAACAUCAAAAAGUUAUCCCCAAAGUUUUUUUUUUUUUAAUCUGAACAAAAUCAUGUUUUCAUGACUCCUUAAAAUAUGUUCCCCUGCUCGUUGUAUUUUCACUUUGUUGGCAAAAUCUAGCUGUACCAUUUCAGACUGAAGUACUCCCUUGCUCACUCUCCUUUUGUACACAACAAAAACUCCUCCAAAACAGUGCAUUUUGCACAGACGCUCACUAAAUACAAAAUGCACAUGUCAUACUUUGUCCACUCUGUGCUACAGUAGGAACAAGGUCAUGCAAGACAGUGUCCUCAGUGGAAGGAUACCCACUCCUUUGCAGAUAUAAAAGGCUCACGCUAAGUCAACAAAUCUCAAUUAUUUCUUUCCUCCAGUGAUUUUUACACUCAUUUAGAUUUACUGUCUUUAUAUAAUAUAGAGUAAUAUCUUUUGGAUAUGGUACCAUACAACAUGAUUAAAAAUUAGACCAAUAGGAGACAUAAAACUUGACUUGUUUGUGAUUUGUGCAUGAAGUAAAAGUAAAGUAAAGUAAAAAAAGACUUUCUUCAACAUACUUCCAGUUGUCUGAAUUGACAGCUACACCCUCACAGUGGUGGCAGGCAGUAAAAUUAUCAGUCUCUUUCAUUUCCACAAAGACUUCAAGAUGCUGUGCAUCAAAUAUGAGUUUUUUGUUUCAUCUUUGCCUGCAGUAGGUCUUGAUUUAAUGUUGCUCCCAGAGUUGUAUUUAUCAUAAUGACAAAAACAUAAAGAAGAGCAGCAAUAAAGUAAAUGAAAUGAACAACCAACAUGCUGUGCUUCCUUUUUCAGAUAGUAAGCACCCAGUGAGAGGAAGUCAUAAAGCUACUGUCCAGCAACUUCAUUUCAAUCUUGAACGGGACAUGUUUUCAUUCAGCAAUAAAAGUUACCGCUAGGAUGAAGUCCAAUCCUGCUUUUUUAUACUGCCUGGGGAAAAACAUGAUACUUAGGGGAGCUUACAGCAUAAAGACAAACCAAAAACCAUUUCAGUGUGACUCUGUUCAUAUUGGCUUGAAAUAUUUUUCUUAUAGACUCCCUCAAGAAUAUCUGCCCUAAAGCAAAGAGGUGCAAAGAUUCCCUGACCAGUUUUAGGCUCAGAAUUUACUCUUGAUGACAGACUUUUUUCUUACUGGCGCAUCAUUGAGAGUUAGAGAACCAAGCAGUGUGGAACAGUGCCCCCUAGUGACAGAUGAUUUCACUACUCUAUGUGUUAUCUGCAGGUCACCAGAGAAUAUAAAUAAAGAAAACAAUGAUAAAGGGAUACAUUAACAACAACAACAACAACAACAACAACAACAACAACAACAACAACAAAAAUCACUUUUUUGUGAAUACUUCAAAUAACAGUGUGCUACAAAAUCUUAAUCCCACUUGUGGAAAAGUGUUCACAUAAAAUGAAUAAAUGAGAUAUUAUAUAAGAAGACUUAGCCUUAUCAAAAAUGCCCCUUUGGCUAAUCCUCAAACAUAUAGGUAGAUGGUUGUAAAUUUUGGACCAAAUGGGUGCAAAUGUAUCUGUUCCUUAGUUUGAAAUGUAUCAAUGAUUUCAUUUUAGUAAAUUUAACCUGUGUGAGCACCACUAACAGAGAGUACAGAGAAUACUUUUACAUUGAUUCAAUCACUGACAUGAAUGAAUCAUAUCUGUGUGUGUGGUGUGCCACCUUGUGGUGUGACCCUGGAUUUACAGGCUGCUCAGUUAGUAUGCUAGUAUGCUCUGACUAAUUUCUGUAACACAUCUAAAUUUCCCAAUGUGGCAACAUAUUCUGUAUUUUUUUUCCCUACUCUAUUCUUUAAAAACCCCUUUCACAGUAAAAAACUGGUGUUUUUUUAUUGGCACUGAUCAGUCAAAACAUUUCUAACCACCAGCUGAUAUUGUACAGGCCCCCCCUCUUGUCAUACAAGGAUUAAAGAGUCCUGUCCUGAUGAGACAUGGACUCUUUAAGACUUCUAAAGUUGUGGUGUGGCACCAAGAUGUUAGCAGCAGAUCAUUCAAGACCUGGGAGCCCAGUCCACAAGUCCAUCAGUACCAGAUUUAACUUGUGUAACAGUUUAGCUCAUCUGUUGUAGUGCUUCCUGCUCUGCAUCAAUAAGCCUUGUUGCCAGUUCAGUUCUUUCUUGGACCACUUCAGGUCAAUACUGAUCACUGCAGCUGAACCUCUAACACCCAUCUCUCCAAACACUUCCCUGUCAUAUUUACAUUGAAAAAUGUGUCGAGGAGCCAAAGUUAUCUAUCAAGUCCAUAAAAGUCAACAUCUUUCUAGUUCUGCUUCUUCCUAUCCUUGUCCCUGUCCAUCUUAUUUCUCUCUCUCUCUGUCUCUCCUCUCCCUCUCCAUCCCUGGUAGUACACAGCAAACACUGGAAGUCAUUUCAGAGAGAAAUUAACACUGAGUCUGACACUUUAAUGCUCCCACACAGCAAAUUGGAUUUGUGCGCUUCACUGGCUCCGAGUAUCAGUGUGUUGCAGUGACAAAAAGCCCCCUGCAGCGAGUCAGAAACACAGACUCAGGAGAGACGGUGGAGCUUUAACACAGCUCAACACUAAAUACAAUAAGAGGAAGUGUUGCUGAGAGGACUUUGCGAGUUAAUUUGAUUUGUAUUGAAAUAUUUCUUUCAGUUUAAAAACCCAAAACAUGGAAAUCAGUCAAAAAUACACAGCCGGCUACACAACAAUUAUAUGUCCAGGAAGUGGAGAACGCUGGUUACAGCAGCAAAUACAGACUCUUAGUUUCAAAAGUGAAGCUGGUGAGCAAGUACUCUUCAGAUUUUAGUGUGCGGGUGAUAUGCUGGAGGAAACUUUUCAAGGCCUUCAAUUGAGUAAGGAAGCCUUCCAAUUUGUACAUUCUCUAACCAAUUUCAAUGAGUCCAAAAAAUAAAUAAAUAAAAAAUCAAAUUAGACUAAACAAAAGCCAAAUUUACCUGCUGUAUAAGUGUUUCUUGGAUUAAACAUGACCCCUUUUUUAAGGAAGUUGACAAAUAUCUUGCGAACAUCAUUUGUAGUUUUUGAUCAAAACAAGCAAAUCGGAUCCUAUUUGUGGCUUAUUAACAACUUGAAAAAGAGCAUUCUGAUGGACUUGUCAGAUAAAUGUGGCUUGAACCAAAUCUAAUGACAUACAGUUCUAAAUAUUAAGACACAAGCUGUCCUUAUGGGUAACAAACAACAGUAGAAGACCAAAUGGUAAACUUUUCAAACAGAAGGCUGAAAAAGGUGAAAAACUUACUUUUAAACAGCGUCCAUGCCAAACAGAAGACCCACAAAGUCCAACCGAGGAACAGAACUCAAAAGUCACAGCAAAAACUCCACAUACUGUAAUAAUCAAAGGUGUGUGUCAGGGAGACACAGGUCAAACAAUCAAAAAAGGAGGGAAAACACAGGAAGUAGAACUAUAUAUAACAGAUUUGAAAAUAGGACUUCAAAAUAAAACAGGAAACAACAAACAACUUGACGUGAAUAAAACACAUAACACAAAUGACAGGAAGCUGAAAAAGAAAUGGUAAGAAAAACAGGGAAAUUUACCAAAAAUUGACAACCCAAACAUGAACAGUUUUGAGUUUUGGCAGUGAGAGACCAAAUCAUUUUCAGACUUAAGUUCUUCUUUGACUAAAGUUCUUUAUUGAAUACUUGUUUAAAAAAAAAGGUUAACCGUGUCUGUAUGGAUACAUUUUAAAAGCCAUAAAUAAAAGGGCAAUCAUGGUAUUCUAUGUCUUUUUUUUUUUUUAAGUUAUUUUCAUGAAAGCUAAUGAUGGUAAUGAAAUAAAAAAGAAGGUUAAAUAUUUUAAAGGCAUUUUGAGAACUAUAAAAGGUUUGUUUUAUGUAAGUUUCAUUCUUAUUGUAUCUUAGUGGGAGUGAAAUAAAUGGUGAUCGCUCUGUGUUAAAAGUUUAAAGUCUUCACAAAAACUUAUGUUGGGACAAACUUUCUGAGAAAACAGAAAUAAACCUUCUAUGUAUCACAAAAACUACUUGUAAUACAAAGUAACUAGAGAGAAACACACUCCAGUUUUGUCCCCUGGGUAAGAAAACCUGUUAAAUGUAAACCCUAAAUGAGCAGCUCAUUCUUCAUUUUACAACUCAUAUUGCUGAAAUUUUGUUAUAUUGGUUUUCUGCCCUUCAGCUAAAAUGGUUAUUAAGUUUGAGCACACAGAAACAACAAACCAACACAGGCCUUUGUGGAUAUUAUUGACGACAUGAAUGAUAUUGAGGUAGAGAGCUGUGUUCACAUCCGGAGAUUUCCUCUGUUCUCUGCCAAUGACCAUGAUGUUAUUACAUAAAAUGAUAAUAACCUGAUCAAUCUUGUGGUCUUAACUACAGAUACUGAUGCUGCACAACGUGUAAAAUGUGCACAGCAUCUUCAGUGACUUGAAAAUGCAUCUGUCGAUCCUGUUUCAUGGUUACAACAAUAAAUUCGAUAAAUCUGCCACAAUCCUAAAUGGGGUGGUCUGCAGAAAUGCCUUAUCUACCGCUGGUGAAUGAAGGUAGAAGCUCACUCUUUGCCCAGUUUAUCCUAUACCACAAAAAUGUGCCAAACUUGUUGAUAAGGUUUAACAGAGGUAUAAAGCUUUAGGUUUGAAAUGAAUAGAAUGAUAUCAUCUGCAUAUGCAUUAUCUGAUGCAUUAUUGCUUAAAUUUUAGGUAUAAAUAAAUUUCAGUAUACAAGAACAAAACAUGACAUUGUUGGGCUCAUGUUAUCAAUCACACCGCGUGGACAAGACAGCACCAGAUCUAUAAAAUACAUUUAUUACUAUUAUAUUUAACUCAAUUUUUGUAUUUUUUAAUGUUUUGAUUCUAUUUUAUGUUUAAAGUCAUAUAUCUGUAUUGCAUUUAUGUGUUUGUUUGCUGUUGCAAUAAAUCGGCUCAAUUGGUCAUUGGCUGAUAAUUUAAGUGACUUAUUGUAAGGAUUUAAAGGAAGUCUAUGCUACUGUGAGGUGAUUCAAGUUUAUAUAAGCAGUGCAAUUUUGUGAAAGAGACAUGCUACAUUAACUGUAGUCAUAAUGCAUUAUUCUGACGUGUGAGUAGAUGUGUCUUUUGUUCCAGUGUGUUGAUCUGGUUCAUCAUCAGGACCUUGUCAGCGGUCAUAGAUGGAGAAUCUUGGCGCACAGAUGGCGACUAUGCUGCUCGCUGCAGAGAUGAUUUUCAUAUUUUAAGAACAAUAAUCAACCAAAUAGAUUCCAUUAAGUAAUCAUUAUUAAUCCUUUUUAUAAUCUCAUCAGCUACAGUGCAUCUUGUGCUGGGCUGUGAGUAGCAGAGAGGAGGAGCUGUUGGACCACAUUAUCUGCUCUCUGUGCAGGUGAAUUCAGGACAGUACGAUAGUUGAUGAGCUGCUGCAGGAUGCACUCAGAAUAAGGUGGUGAAAAUAAACCCAAAACAUAUCAUUUACCCCUGCUUUAGUAAGAGGUUUUAUCCAUUGAACUUUGUUGGUGAACUUUUAAAACUCCCUCUAAAGUCUUUAUCAGGGAGUCAGCUUUACACCAUUGAAGUAAUAGUCCAAACAACGCCAUCUGCUGGAGAUACACAUGUCAAAACCCCCUGUUAAGACCUGUUGACAUGUCAAUGCUGACUACCCUUCUUAUCACUGUUAACUGAUCUUCUCGUGUAAGGUUAGGGGGUCUGAAAACAUGAAAACCUCUCCCUGCUUUCUUUUCACAUUAAACAUCUCACACUGUCUAUUUUUGUUUUGGAAAAUGACACAAAAAGCCUUUUUUAUAGCAGUGUACAGAUGUCUGUUUUUGUAACACCCAUCCUUGGCAGUAUUUUCUUGUAAUUAAAAAUUCAUUCAGUAAUUUAUAAUAUUUAGAAAGACUCAAAUGUCCUCCUGAUGGCCUUGAUUGCUUUUGAAAGUCACACUGAGUCAUCAAAAGUAAUUUCAGUCUGUUUUUAUAACCAAUUAAAAACCUCUCUUACUCUCACGGGAGCUUUAAAUGUUUGUGAAUGCCUAAUGAGACUGAGCUCGGAUAUUUGUUAUAUUUGUCUUUUAUUUAAGUCACAUAUCUAAAUGUUUUAAAUUCCAUUUCAAAGCUAACCUUCAGCCAAUGUAGGGUCAUUUUUAUCCUAUUCAAAUCUGGAUUAACCGGCUUGUUUGUGAAAAGGGUUACGCCACUAUGAGAUAGUAAACACAUGUGACUGUCAACACAAUGUCAGCUCAUGACCUCAGAUAGCUUCUCACAUGAUCAGCUGGUGUAAGGGAUGAGAGCGUGUGAUCAUUCAGCCAAUGUUAGACCAUGAAAGUCAAAGCUGUUGUUUGUAAAGGUUUCAGCAGGAUGAGGGUGAUCCGCAGCCAUGACGGACACAUUAUAAAGGGCGGUCGCAUCGCUGCUUUUCUGUCAAGCUCCUUCAACAAUUUCCCUGUCGCUCGUUUUUAACCUGCCACACAGCCGUCACCAUUUAGCCUCAUAAUUCCCCAGAUUCACGCAUAAUCAAACAAAUUAGCCUUUAUGCUAAUUUCUUACGACUCAAUUAUGUUAAAAGCCCGGCUUGAAUGACAGUCAUAAUUGCAGUCAUAAUGCUGGCAGAGAUAUUACCAUCAAAUAAUACGGUAAUGGAUAUCAAAGGAGCUGGCUUCAUCUGCUGGAUAAAGACAUCGCUGAGUGGGUUAGCAGGAGUAAAUAAACUCUGAUGUGUUUGCUGAUGAGCUGCUUUGUCCUACAGCUCAUCUGCUGGGACUCCAUAGAGGUCAGGACAACAAACACCGAUGGAUAGAAACAGAUCAGUCUCUUUAGAGCUGAUUUUAUUGAUGCUCUGAGCCCUGGACAUGGCUUGCUGUUUUCUGAGCUUUUCAUGCUGGUACAUUUUCAAGAUUUUACAAAAGAAAAAUCUCUUUCUUUCUCUUUUUUCAUUGAUGUGGAUAAAAUUGACUGUGCACCCGACCUCACAUGGAGUUUUUCUUUUCACAUUUUUUUUUUUUUGUUAAACAUUAUUCUUGGGCUUUAGGCCUUAGUUUUGAUGGUACAGCUCGAAAGAGACAGCAAUGACAAACCAGUGCAAUGAGGGCUGCAGCCUCAGUAUAUGGUCACCCAAUCCAACUUUUAGUCCAACAGUCCCUCCAUUCACUUUCCUUAUAAUUAACUAGACAUAUAUUCCUAAUUCCAGAUUUACUUCAAUAGUUGGUAACCUAUAAGAAUGGUUUGUUUGUUGUUGUUUUUAAGAUGGGUUUUACUACUCCCGUAGUCCAGUUGAGAAGGCUAUUUUAAAUUCUGGUGUGAUCUUCAUAAGGAAACUCGGGUCCACUUGAAAACCAGGUUCUUGGUUCACUUGGUGCGCUUGGCUAGAGGAACCAAAUUAUUAACCAAAGACAGAAAGUUGUGUAGAGCCCAGCACAUGGUGAGUCAAUUUCUCAUCACUUGUAAAGAACAAAUGCUAGAAGGCUUGAUGCCUCCCCUGUAGCUCAUACUGGGCGCUUUCAUGUGAAAAAUAUAAAAAAAAACAUGGAAGCAAAAGCAGAAUCCCCCAAAAGCAUAAAUAUGGUGUUGCUCUAAUGUCUAUGUGUCUAAAGUCGAUUGUCUGGGAUGAUAUCAUCAUAGGUGAGCAGUCAUUGUAGGACGUGAUCUUGUCCUUUGCCAAGCAGAGUGGUCCUCUGACAGCCAAGUAAAGCGAUGAAAAUGGUUAACAAAGAUAGACCAAACACAGAUCGUAUUAUGGCGUCAGUGGAGUCAAGCAUGGAGUCAACAGGUUAGAGUUUUUCAGAGCUCAUUAUGGAAGUAGAGCAUCAUAGAUUUUGACAGGAAAUCCUUGGCCUUGUGUCCCUGUCCCUGGUCAAGAAAAAGAAAGUUAGCACUAUUAAAAGGAGUUUAAUCAUUUUCUUUCUUUAUAUUUAGCAGGCCCCUCUGAGACACAAAAACAUCUUAAUCAAUGACUGAAGUUUUAAUUCCAGGGGGGGAGGAGACAAAGAAACAGCUCUCCUGGCAACCACGCUGAUGGAUUCCUCUGCUUAUUACAGCUGGAGUCAUCAGGGCGCUCUUUUUUCAAUCAUAGCCACUUUGAUUCAAAGCCUUGGAAAGCACCGUUGGACUCAUGACAGUAAAGAAUGAACUCAAAUUAUAGUUUUUUUUAAGAAGACUCCAGGAGUCAAGAGUUUGUGUUGACAGAAUAAUAAGACAUGAAGAGGCUUGGACAUUGGAUUUCUUAGGGGAAUGAUUUUUCUUGUUUCAGGAUGGAUUGAUUAUGUUGUGGAAAAUGUUCAUUCAAUCCCCAGCUCUUUAUUGUGUAAAUCAAACUUGGCAAUGACUGUAUUUUCCCUCCCUAAAUGUUGAUUUCCUGUUGGGUAUCAGAUCUUUUUUUGCUCAGGGGGAACAAACAUCAAACAAUAAAUCAGGUAUAGGUCCAUAACUUAAAUCACUUACAGUUGUGUUGAUGAAAGUGUUGCAGUUUCUCAGAGAACUGCUCAGCACUGUGAUAGAUGGAUCCAGUACAACUGCAGAGUAAUUGCAUAUUUUUGGGCCCUCCGAUGAAUAACCAGCACUGAUCCGUCAUUAUAAAAGUAAAACUCAGUCAGUGGUGAGAAAUGUUGCUCAACAGGUAUUUGCACAGCUGCAGGGGGUCAUAAAUAACUGCAGAAGACUUGCACAUUAGUUCACCUUUUUCCUCUCAAGGCCUUAAACGAAGCAGCCUCCAGUGUCCAGACAUGUAAUCAAGGAGGCGCUGUUAGUUCGUCCAAGGCUGCAGCUCUGCUGAUUACUGUAAAGCAAGCAAUCAACACGUACUUCAGGUUACAAAGGCCUAAGUAUCCACAUCUAUACACUGAUUUUAUUUGCACAAAAUACUAUGCAGAUAAUAAGGCUAGCAGUGAUUAAGGUUGGCUUUAGACAGGGGGAGUUUUGGCUUCAUGAGGGCUCCAGGUCGAGCCCACAUGGCACUGACUUGUGCUUCUGUUUGGCCACCUGAGUAGCUGCUGUUGCUACUUAUCUUCAUAACUUUGACCCAGAAUAAAGUUAUUAACUGUUACAAAAUAUCUUGGCUUUACAAAUAUCAUAAGGAACUACUUUUGUCAGGAAAGAAAGACUUGACGUAUGAUAAUAGACUGUUUAUGCUAUGGACAACUUGGAUCCGCCUUCUGUCAGUACACGGAUUUGGUAAUUCCGCGAUUUUUCUCCACUUUCUGAGACCAACAUUGCGCAGUUGCGAUGUAAGCACUCCACCACUUGCGCAGUAACAUUGUACGCAUUUGGCAAGAGGAUGGCGGAGAGUCGCUGUGAUAACGCUCAGCUCAAACAGCUUAUCCUUCGGGUGAGCUACGCUAUCUUCGCACGCCCAUCGGCUGUAUCAAGUGUCAAUCAUAGAAAACAUGAAUCCCCUAAUAACUUUUAAAAAUGGAGCUGUACAAAAAAAAUGUAUAUUCUGUAAAAUAAAUUUCUAAAGUUUGUCUACAGCUCCAUACGGAUGGCUGGAGGAGGCGGGAUUUAUGACCUAUACUGCAGCCCGUCACCAGAGGGUGCUGUUCUCGGGGUGGCUUCACCCAGCGAGGAGGAAGACAGUGCCCAUUCUUUAUACAGUCUAUGUGUAUGAUCCAUUGUAAAUUUAAACUUUAUAAAAAAGAUUUUUGGGGACUUUUUUUUAUUUUUAUUUGAUGGGACAGCUAGGACCAGUGCAAUGUGGACCAAAGCCUUAAAACAUGAAGCACCUGCUCUACCAAGUGAGCUAAACAUUUGCCAAAAUAUGCAUAUUACUUUUGUUUCAUAACUGGGCACUCUGUCUUUUCUUUCAGUGAACUGUGUCAUUCACCUAAACAUAAAAAAUAGCAUGCAAGACUUUCUGUACACCUUCAAUCGCCCUUUGGGAUCACUGUAAUUGAUUGAUAAUUAAUUUGUAUACCAAAUCCAUUCAAUUAAUGAGGACAUAGUCGAAGAGCCUGUUUCUGAGCAACCAGAAC